ACCCGCUCCGGGCGCUGCCGCCGGAAGGGCCGGCGACGGAGGGUCUCAGAUGGCGGGGCUGGAGGCCCACCCGGGCUUUCGGGCCGGCGAGUCCCGUGGGGGCGCCCUUGUGCCUGCUAGGAUAUUUAGCAAAUGGCAGGCGACCAGAAACGUCCUCACUUUUCUCCCUCGGCCCCCUGGGGAACCGCCGUGAGCGUUUCCCACGGACACAAACUUAACAGGCCCAGAACGUCCAGGGAGGACGCGUUGUGAACCUCAAAGAGCCCACUUACGUGACCGACAGCACCGGGCCGACGGGCACUCGCUGAACUGGCCCGGAGCAGCACAACUCUGAAGUGGGCACUGGCAUCUUUUGUACAAAUAAAGGAAAGUGGCCCCACGUCCCUAAAACAACAGCUUGCUGAAGAGAGAUCGCAAAGCAUCCCCCACUGCAGCUCAGGCCUGACUCCAAAGCUCUUCUGCUUUAGAAAGUGUGACUAUUUCUGCUGUAGAAAACCGGUAUCUAGGCCGGGCGCGGUGGCUCACGCCUGUAAUCCCAGCACUUGGGAGGCUGAGAUCUAUUGAAAACAGCUGGGCACCGUGGCUCACACCUGGAAUCCCAGCUGAGGCAGGAGGCUCCCUUGUGCCCAGGAAUUGAAGGUUGCAGUAAGCUAUGAUUGUGUCACUGCAUGCCAGCCUGGGAAACAGUGCAAGACCUUGCAUAUUAGAAAAAAGUUUCUGGGAAGUAUACCAAAAGUCUUAACUAAGAUUUGCUAAAUGAAUAUUAAUUAAAUAACCUAACAGCAAGUACAUGGGGAAGUUGGAGGAUCUAGAAUCUGACUUCCUUGACACCAACUAUUCCUGCAUUUAGCAGGUAAAAGCCCGAUAGCAUGAUUGAGUGGAAACAUGAAGGGACAAGGGUUUGGCUAGUUAUGUUUAUAAAAAGUCAACAUAGGAAUUGAGUCAAGAUACCAGAAACUCUACUUAUAGUAAGAUCCCAAUUGCAAAAACGGAGAAUGGAAGCAUACAGAACUGUACCUUCUGCUCAAUUUUGCUGUGAAUGUAAACUUCCUCUAACACAUAAAAUGUAUUUUAAAGAAAAAAA
rnacentral:lncRNA from 1 species